rnacentral:rRNA from 1 species
GUUUGAUCCUGGCUCAGAAUGAAUGCUUGCAAUAGGCUUAAGACAUGCAAGUUGUGCGAAAUGAAAAAAAAGCAGCGAACGGGUGAUUAAUGCGUAAGAAUUUGCCCUUUAGUCUGGUGGUAAGAUAGCAAUCAAAUCCCGGAUAUUUUCAAAGAAAAGUGUUUUCGCUAUAGGAUAAGCUUACGUAAGAUUAGGUAGUUGGUGAGGUAAUUGCUCCACCAAGCCGAUGAUCUUUAGCUGGUUUGAAAGAACGUCCAGCCACACUGGGACUGAGACACGGCCCAGACUUUUUCGAAAGGCAGCAGUCGGGAAUCUUGGACAAUGGGCGCAAGCCUGAUCCAGCCAUAUUGCGUGAGGGAUGAAGGCUUAUUUGGUCGUAAACUUCUUUACGUUGUUGAGCAAUGUACAAAAAGCCCUGACAAAAUCUGUGCCAGCAGUCGCGGUAAUACAGAUAGGGCAAGUGUUAUUCGGAUUGAUUGGGCGUAAAGGGUACGUAGGCGGUCUGUUUACAGAGAACAUGCAAAAACAAAGUUUUUGCAUGAAUGUUCGUAUAUUGGGACAACCUUUUUUAAAAGAUGUUCAAUGGGCAUACAACAAGACUUGAGUAAGAUAGAGGAAAGCGGAAUUUUGAGUGUAGGGUUAGAAUUCUUAGAUAUUCAAAGGAACACCGAAAACGAAGGUAGCUUUCUGGGUCUUUACUGACGCUGAGGUACGAAAGCGUGGGGAGUGAAUGGGAUUAGAUACCCCAGUAAUCCACGCCGUCAACGAUGAGUGUUCACUGCAUGAUUUAGAAAAUUGUGGAGUUUAGCUAACGCGUUAAACACUCCGCCUGAGGAGUACGGUCGCAAGGCUGAAACUCAAAGGAAUUGCCGGGGGCUUGUACAAGCGGUGGAUCAUGUGGUUUAAUUCGAAACAACGCGCAGAACCUUACCAGUUUUUGUAUACAAAUAAUGGAAUACCCUUAACGGGGUCAUUUUCGAGAUUUGAACAGGUGCUGCAUGGCUGUCGUCAGCUCGUGUCGUGAGAUGUAUGGUUAAGUCCUGCAACGAGCGAAACCCGUUUUUUUGUAGAUGCAAAAAAACUGCCGAUGAUAAAUCGGAGGAAGGAACGGAUGAUGUCAAGUCCUCAUGGCCCUUAUAAGCUGGGCUACACACGUGAUACAAUGGCAAUGACAAUAGGAAGCAAUGAUGCAAGUCGGAGCGAAACCAAAAAAGUUGUCAAGUUCGGAUUGUUCUCUGCAACUCGAGAACAUGAAGCUGGAAUCGCUAGUAAUCGUGGAUCAGCACGCCACGGUGAAUUUGUACCCGAGCCUUGGACACCUUGCCCGUCACAUUGCGGAAGUGUGUUUGGCUCGAAAAAUGAUCUCUAUCUUAUA